CAUAUAUUAGCAUAGAGGAUCAUUAAUAAAAAAUAGAAAUGAUGAAACACUUUAAACACAAGCAGUAUAUUAUUAAGUCAAGAAAUUUCUAUCAUCACAUGUAGGAGACAAGAAGAAUAAAAAAAAAAAGCAGACACCGGCAAGGGUCACAAAAAAAAUUUAUAAUUAUGAUAAACCGGAUGCUAUAAGGCAUGAGACUCUUGGAACGAGUCCAGAGGGAACAGUUCAUAAUCUUGAAAACAAGAUAUGAUCCUGGGGUCGGAAAACCAGCGUCUCAGAGUCACAGGUUUUACAUAUCUGGUGGAAAAUCUAUAGAUAAGAAAAUUAGUCUUAGUUACUGAUUUGUUAUUGAUUACCGUUUCCUAAGUACUCAAUGGUUAAUGAUCAUUUUGUUCUUUGGCCCUGAAAGCCACAUGAGUUAUAGUUUAACUCCCCACAUAUUCUUUCAUUCACGGCUGAAAGUAUAAUAAAGCUGGCUUGGAUUCAGUUUCGGCACCUUCACCUUGGAGCGGUGUUGGUCCCCCAUCCUCGCUUUUCCAUGAAUUCUUGUGUCUCUUUUCUCAUUCUUGCCAUAUCGCGCUUUCGGAAUCCCUGCUUGUCGAGUUGGUCUAGACAAGUGGCGCAGGAAAAGGGACCCGAAAGUGAAUUCAGCCUGCGAGGCUAGCUCCUAGCAGCAGAGAACGCAGGGAAAUCCGGCCAGCUCGGCAGACGGCCGACGAAGAAAGUACUUGUCUAGAGAAAAACAAUCAAGAGACAACGCAGCCAACAACAGCAACUAACAUUUCUCACCAUUUCUUAUCACGUACAAAAUCAAAAAGGGGGAGAUGUAGGAGACAGGAAGAAUAAAAGAAAAGCAGGCCCCAGCAAGGGCCACAAAAGAAAUUUAUAAUUAUUGAUAAACUGGAUGCUACAAGGCAUGAGACUCUUGGAACGAGUCCAGAGGGAACAGUUCAUAAUCUUGAAAAGAAGAUAUGAUCCUGGGAUCGGAAAACCGACCCCAGACUAUUUCUCAACCGGCGUCUCAAGAGUCACGUGUUUUACGUAUCUAGUGGAAAAUCUAUCAAUAAAAAUAGUAGUCUUAGUUACUGAUUUGUUAUUGAUUACUGCUUCCUAAUCACUCAAUGGUAAUUAAUGAUCAUUUUGUUCUUUGGCCCUGAAGGCCACAUAAAUUAUAGUUUAACUCCCCACAUAUUCUUUCAUUCACGGCUGAAAGUAUAAUAAAGCUGGCUUGGAUUCAGUUUCAGCACCUUCACCUUGGAGUGGUGUUGGUCCCCUGAUCCUCACUUUUCUAUGAA